rnacentral:rRNA from 1 species
UACGUAGGGGGCAAGCGUUGUCCGGAAUCAUUGGGCGUAAAGAGCGUGUAGGCGGCCUGGUAAGUCCGCUGUGAAAGUCCAGGGCUCAACCCUGGAAUGCCGGUGGAAACUGUCGAGCUAGAGUCCGGAAGAGGCGAGUGGAAUCCUGGUGUAGCGGUGAAAUGCGCAGAUAUCAGGAGGAACACCAAUGGCGAAGGCAGCUCGCUGGGACGGUACUGACGCUGAGACGCGAAAGCGUGGGGAGCAAACAGG